AGCGAACGCUGGCGGUAGGCCUAACACAUGCAAGUCGAACGAACUCUUCGGAGUUAGUGGCUGACGGGUGAGUAACACGUGGGACCGUGCCCUAUGGCACGGAAUAACUCAGGGACACUUGAGCUAAUACCGUAUGAGUUACUCGGAGGCAAGAUUCAUCGUCAUUGGAGCAGCACGCGUCUGUUUAGCUUGUUGGUGUGGUAAAGGCUCACCAAGGCUUCGCUCAGUAGCUGGUCUGAGAGGAAGGGCAGCCACUUUGAGACGAAGACGCGGCCGAAACUCCUACGGGAGGGGGGAGUGGGUGAUCUUGCGCAAUCGGCUAAGGGCAGACGCAGUCAUGGCGCGUGAAUGAUGAAGUUGGUAGAAAUAAAAAAUUCUUUCAUCGGGGGCGAUUAUGACGGUACCCGAAGAAUAAGCCCCGGCUAACUUCGUG
rnacentral:rRNA from 1 species